GACUUGUUUCAAUAUAAUAAUUUUAUAAUAAUUAAAUUAAUAAAAAUUUAUUUGAAAAUGACGGGCAAUAUGUACAUAUUUUAAAACAAUAAUCAUAAUAAUAACUUAAUUAAAAUUACUUUUAAAUCCAUUUUUUAUUAAUUUAUUCAAAUUAAUAUCUAAUUAUUAUAAAAAUUGUAACUCAUAAAUUUCUUAAACAUAAACUGCACCUUGAUUUGAUUUAUUUUUUAUAUUAAAAAAUUUAAAUAUUUAAAUUUUUUAAAAAAUAUUUUUUUAACAACGAUAUACAAAUAUAUAAUUUAAGUAAAAUUAUUUGUGGAUUAUCAAUUACUAUACAAGUUCCUCUAAAUUGAUUAAAAUACUGCCAAUUUUUUUAAGUUUUAUUUAAUUUUAAACUUUAAAUACUUAAAUUUUUAUAUAAUUUUUUUUUAGAAUAAUAGGGUAUCUAA
rnacentral:rRNA from 1 species